rnacentral:lncRNA from 1 species
UCUUCCUUCUGCAACUCCUGGGAUGUGGUGGAGCACAGCGGGGGCAAGGAGGAGCAGACACACCCACAAGCCAGCAGCCCAGGGCAGUUCGAUGGCCAUGCUCAGGACCCACGCACCGGCAGGGACUAUCUCUUCAGCAGCGUGACCGGGGCUCGGCGCUGGAUCUGAAGGGCUUGACUUGACGAAGGGCUCCUUGUGCCUCACAGCUCCACGGGGGAAGUGCUGGGCAGAGCACCGGGCACUGGCAGACGGCUGCUACGGCCCCCGAGGAAGAGACCCAUCCUUUGUGACCAAACCUGCUGCACACGGGGUGCAGCCACACCCUGAGCCACCUCAGCCCAUGUAGAGCUAAUAAACGUGUCAGAGAUUGCA